rnacentral:rRNA from 1 species
UACGGAGGGUGCAAGCGUUAAUCGGAAUUACUGGGCGUAAAGCGUGCGUAGGCGGUUCGUUAAGUCUGUUGUGAAAGCCCCGGGCUCAACCUGGGAAUGGCAAUGGAUACUGGCGAGCUAGAGUGUGUCAGAGGAUGGUGGAAUUCCCGGUGUAGCGGUGAAAUGCGUAAAGAUCGGGAGGAACAUCAGUGGCGAAGGCGGCCAUCUGGGACAACACUGACGCUGAGGCACGAAAGCGUGGGGAGCAAACAGGG